ACCGCGGUGGGGGAGGACCUGAGCGUUGUCGCCGCUGGCGGCUCGGUGUUCAAGGCGAUCCGCGGUG
rnacentral:tRNA from 1 species